rnacentral:rRNA from 1 species
UGAGUACGAGACGCUACGGCGUCGAAGCAGUCUAUGUCAUACUUCCAAGAAAAGCUUGCACUGUCAUAAACAAAUAAUGCCUGUACCAUAACCGACACAGGUGGGUAGGUAGAGUAUACUAAGGGGCGCGAGAUAACUCUCUCUAAGGAACUCGGCAAAAUGACUCCGUAACUUCGGGAGAAGGAGUGCCUUAUUCUUAAGGUUGCAAUAACAAGAUCCAAGCAACUGUUUAUCAAAAACACAGGUCUCCGCUAAGUCGUAAGACGAUGUAUGGGGGCUGACGCCUGCCCAGUGCCGGAAGGUUAAAGAAGUUGGUUAGCAUUCGCGAAGCUGAUAACUGAAGCCCUGGUGAACGGCGGCCGUAACAAUAACGGUCCUAAGGUAGCGAAAUUCCUUGUCGGGUAAGUUCCGACCCGCACGAAAGGCGUAAUGAUUUGGAUACUGUCUCGGAGAGGGGCUCGGUGAAAUAGACUUGUCUGUGAAGAUGCGGACUACCUGCACCUGGACAGAAAGACCCUAUGAAGCUUUACUGUAACUUGAAAUUGAAAUUGGACUUUAUUUGCGCAGUAUAGGUGGGAGGCGUUGAGAAUAUUCUUGCGGGAAUAUUGGAGCCAUCAGUGAGAUACCACUCUUGUAAUGUUAGAUUUCUAACUUUGAAUCAUUAUCUGGUCAAAGGACAGUUUCAGGCGGGCAGUUUGACUGGGGCGGUCGCCUCCUAAAUGGUAACGGAGGCGCACAAAGGUUUCCUCUGAACGGGUAGAAAUCGUAUCUAGAGUGUAAAGGCAUAAGGAAGCUUGACUGUGAGACCUACAAGUCGAGCAGGGACGAAAGUCGGUCUUAGUGAUCUGACGGUGCUGAGUGGAAAGGCCGUCACUCAACGGAUAAAAGUUACUCUAAGGAUAACAGGCGGAUCUCCCCCAAGAGUUCACAUCGACGGGGAGGUUUGGCACCUCGAUGUCGGCUCAUCGCAUCCUGGGGCGGUAGUACGUCCCAAGGGUUGGGCUGUUCGCCCAUGAAAGCGGUACGCGAGCUGGGUUCAGAACGUCGUGAGACAGUUCGGUCCAUAUCCGGUGUAGGCGUUAGAAUAUUGAGAGGAGCCUUCUUUAGUACGAGAGGACCGAGAAGGACAUACCUCUGGUGUACCAGUUAUCGUGCCAACGGUAAACGCUGGGUAGCUAUGUAUGGAGAGGAUAACCGCUGAAAGCAUCUAAGUGGGAAGCCCACCUCAAGAUAAG